rnacentral:lncRNA from 1 species
UGAGAUCCUAUGCCGGAUGAACAGCCAUGUAGUUCAGAUAAAGUUGGUAGAAGAGGUUUGCCAUAGUAUCUGUGAAAAAGAAAAUUGUCCACCAUAGUAGCUUUGCUUCAUCACAAAGCCUUGAUUUAAAUAACAGAAGACAAAUAGUUCCGGUCAACACAUAGUUUCUAUACAGGAAGAAAGUUAUUCAUAACGUGUAGAUUCUGGAAGACCAUUCACUUUACCAUUAUCCAGCGCCGAGGCAAAGGAUUCCUUCUCGCGAUCAAGCUCAGGUUUUGACUUCGUGUCUCUUUUAAUUUCCUCUCCACUAGGCUCCAUUCAGGUAUGCUGCUUGCACAAAAUGAUGAAAUUAUGCCUUAGAAUAUUUGCAUCUAAACUAUACUCUGUUGGAGCAACUUGUGACAUGAAUCUGAUUCUAAGCAUCAUAAACCACUAUAAAUUAUAUGUUGGGGAAAAAUCACUUCUAUAGUUUAGUUUUGAUCUUCCACAAGUUCACUUCAUAUUUACUAUCGAGAGAUAGACUUCAACUUAUUAAGGGGAAAGAAAAGAUGGAAGUGCUUCUUUUACUUUUAUGGAGAAUCUGGAUCUACUUACGAAGAACCACAUGCGUUUAUCAACUAUUGUUAGUCAAAAUAUGAUAUGAAUCAGUGUAUGUAAAUUUUUGCAUUAAUUUAUCUGCAAGUGUAAUCAUUUUAAUUUUUUUUAUGGUUAUAUAUCCCCUCGCAGACACCAAAUUUUUGGAUUAAACAACUUGUGUCCUCUCGGAAAUUUGCAAGGUCACAUAUUUUGGGUGAAUGAUGGGUUAUCCUUAUAUGUUCAAUCAUGACAUCACGAGAAGUCAUCAUGUUACUCUUGUUCCUUGAGUUAUGCAUAGGUAUUCCAUUAUCGACAAGCACACAUUUUUUUUUUUUUCGGAUGUAUUUUUUAUGUAUCUUUUUUUUUUGUAGAUACUUUUCAUGUAUCCUUAAGAAGUUAUGCUUGUGCACCUAAAAGGUCGCGAUGGUAUGCUGACUUAUCCUUGUUUGAGAUCGUUCACCAAGAGAAAAAAACAUACCAUCAAUGAGCAAGGGACUCAUCUAAAAGAGUAGAAAAGUUCUGAGGGGCCUUUACACUCUAGAUACUUUCGGAGCUUGCUUCGGAGAAUUUUUAAGGUUCUUACUUACUGCUUUCUUUUUGAACUUUAGUCAUCUCAUAGAGCCAAAAUCUCUAAAAUAAGGAGGUUGCAUUGCCAUUAUCUAAAUCUGCACUCAUCCUUUUGGAUUACUCCCAACAUUUGUGCUGAAAAGCCUUUCUCUUCAAAAUGUGAAGCAAGAAUGCAUAGUAAUUUAUCUUUUCCUGUUUUUUUAAGAAACAGUUUAGCAACUGCUUAAUUAUUUUUCAUUAAGCAAUGCAAUGAAAUUUCUCAUAUAUAGUCUAGUAGACAUUCUCACAGUGCUGGAUUUUUGCUGUUGGAUGGUGAGGAACAAGUGAAAGUUGUUGAGAAAAGCGGGGGACAAGUUAGUGGCUACUUUUCUCUAGGAUGUUUGGAAGGAAAAGAACAACCGAAUUUUUUUGAAGAAGAAUGGAUCUAUCGUUACAGUCUUGUAUAACAUCUUGCGACGAUAUCACAGCUGGAAGCUACUUCGAAGUCUAUUGACGGUCAUGAGAGACAUUGGAAUGCUUUGAAAUGUUUGUUAUCUUCUGCUUUGUUGAACUGUCCUAUUUCUUGUUGAGAUUUCUUCCUCUGUUUUGCUGUUGGUUGAGGUUGUUGCUAUGGAAGCUCUUGUCAUGGCUCCUUUGAAAUCUGGUUGGCAGUUCUUGUGUUGUUGGCAGUUCUUGAAGCUUCAAUGGUGAUGCAAUUGGGUUUGGAUAUAUGGGUUUCUUGUUGCCGUUUUCUUCUGAAUGGUCUACGGGUUCUGAAGCUGCUGUGUGCUCGGCAAGGAGUUCCUUUCCCCUUGGAUUUCUUUGGUUCUUGUAGUUUUUCCGAACAGACUUGCUAUCUUGUAGCUUCACCCUGAAAGGACUCUUUAUGUUUUUGUAUCUCUCUUUCUUCAAUCCUUUUGUAUAUUCUCUACUUCUCCUCUUCAUCUCUGUAAAUUCUGACUCUGAAUGAAGUUCAGGUGGCUGCUUUGCAGCUUCCAUUCACAUUAAAAAA